AACGAACGCUGGCGGCAGGCCUAACACAUGCAAGUCGAGCGCCCUUUCGGGGGAGCGGCGGCCGGGUGAGUAACGCGUGGGAAUAUGCCCUUCUCUACGGAAUAGCCUCGGGAAACUGAGAGUAAUACCGUAUACGCCCUUUGGGGGAAAGAUUUAUCGGGGAAGGAUUAGCCCGCGUUGGAUUAGGUAGUUGGUGGGGUAAUGGCCUACCAAGCCGACGAUCCAUAGCUGGUUUGAGAGGAUGAUCAGCCACACUGGGACUGAGACACGGCCCAGACUCCUACGGGAGGCAGCAGUGGGGAAUCUUAGACAAUGGGGGCAACCCUGAUCUAGCCAUGCCGCGUGAGUGAUGAAGGCCUUAGGGUUGUAAAGCUCUUUCAGCUGGGAAGAUAAUGACGGUACCAGCAGAAGAAGCCCCGGCUAACUCCGUG
rnacentral:rRNA from 1 species